rnacentral:rRNA from 1 species
UACAGAGGGGGCAAGCGUUAUUCGGAAUUAUUGGGCGUAAAGGGCGCGUAGGCGGCCAGGCAAGUGGAAGGUGAAAUCCCUCGGCUUAACCGAGGAACUGCCCUCCAAACUGCUUGGCUUGAGACCGGGAGAGGUGAGUGGAAUUCCCAGUGUAGCGGUGAAAUGCGUAGAUAUUGGGAGGAACACCAGUGACGAAGGCGGCUCACUGGACCGGUACUGACGCUGAUGCGCGAAAGCGUGGGGAGCAAACGGG